GAUGAACGCUGGCGGCGUGCCUAAUACAUGCAAGUCGAGCGAAUGGAUUAAGAGCUUGCUCUUAUGAAGUUAGCGUCGGACGGGUGAGUAACACGUGGGUAACCUGCCCAUAAGACUGGGAUAACUCCGGGAAACCGGGGCUAAUACCGGAUAACAUUUUGAACCGCAUGGUUCGAAAUUGAAAGGCGGCUUCGGCUGUCACUUAUGGAUGGACCCGCGUCGCAUUAGCUAGUUGGUGAGGUAACGGCUCACCAAGGCAACGAUGCGUAGCCGACCUGAGAGGGUGAUCGGCCACACUGGGACGGAGACGCGGCCCAGACUCCUACGGGAGGCAGCAGUAGGGAAACUUCCGCAAUGGACGAAAGUCUGACGGAGCAACGCCGCGUGAGUGAUGAAGGCUUUCGGGUCGUAAAACUCUGUUGUUAGGGAAGAACAAGUGCUAGUUGAAUAAGCUGGCACCUUGACGGUACCUAACCAGAAAGCCACGGCUAACUACGUGCCAGCCGCCGCGGUAA
rnacentral:rRNA from 1 species